UAGGGAAUCUUCCACAAUGGACGCAAGUCUGAUGGAGCAACGCCGCGUGAGUGAAGAAGGUUUUCGGACCGUAAAGCUCUGUUGUUGGUGAAGAAGGAUAGAGGUAGUAACUGGCCUUUAUUUGACGGUAAUCAACCAGAAAGUCACGGCUAACUACGUGCCAGCAGCCGCGGUAAUACGUAGGUGGCAAGCGUCGUCGGUACUUGAUUUGG
rnacentral:rRNA from 1 species